rnacentral:rRNA from 1 species
GAGCUUGCUCCACCGAAAGAAAAGGAGUGGCGAACGGGUGAGUAACACGUGGGUAACCUGCCCAUCAGAAGGGGAUAACACUUGGAAACAGGUGCUAAUACCGUAUAACAAUCGAAACCGCAUGGUUUUGAUUUGAAAGGCGCUUUCGGGUGUCGCUGAUGGAUGGACCCGCGGUGCAUUAGCUAGUUGGUGAGGUAACGGCUCACCAAGGCCACGAUGCAUAGCCGACCUGAGAGGGUGAUCGGCCACAUUGGGACUGAGACACGGCCCAAACUCCUACGGGAGGCAGCAGUAGGGAAUCUUCGGCAAUGGACGAAAGUCUGACCGAGCAACGCCGCGUGAGUGAAGAAGGUUUUCGGAUCGUAAAACUCUGUUGUUAGAGAAGAACAAGGAUGAGAGUAACUGUUCAUCCCUUGACGGUAUCUAACCAGAAAGCCACGGCUAACUACGUGCCAGCAGCCGCGGUAAUACGUAGGUGGCAAGCGUUGUCCGGAUUUAUUGGGCGUAAAGCGAGCGCAGGCGGUUUCUUAAGUCUGAUGUGAAAGCCCCCGGCUCAACCGGGGAGGGUCAUUGGAAACUGGGAGACUUGAGUGCAGAAGAGGAGAGUGGAAUUCCAUGUGUAGCGGUGAAAUGCGUAGAUAUAUGGAGGAACCACCCAGGUGGCGAAGGCGACUCUCUGGUCUGUAA